GGAUUCGUUUUGCUCCUUCCCUUUCCCUCCAAAUGCCUCCACCCAUAUCCCUGCGCCUAUAAAACAAGCCCUGUACCGGAGCACCUCCAUUCGUCACUCUUUUCACUCGAACCGAUCGGAGGAUCGAGAGCCUCCUCUGUUGCUUCUGAAGCUUAAUUAGCUUGUUGUGGAGAUUUAGAGCAGUACUUUGUAACAUUCCAGAGUAUCAAACGGAAGCUUCCAACAAAACUCCAACCGCGGAAAUGCACAACGACACCGCCUCCUCCACCGCCAAUGGCGGCCUCGCCACCUCAUCGCAGUUCAAAUCGCAGCCUCGCUCAGACGACGCCGUGUUCUCUUCCCUCUAUUCCGCCAUCUUCGAUCGCAAGCCGUCCCUCGCUUGAUACAACGAAUCGGAGCCCGACGCGUCCUCUAAUCAUCCCCACCGCCAACUCUACCACUCUCUCCUCGUCCAAGACCACCAGGAGAUGGUCAACCGCUACUGCUACUUCAGGCAAAAGGUGUACGUUCCUGCUGGAGGGAGGAAGGAGCAGGAGCCACUUGAAUUGGAGGUGUACAACCAAGGCAUGUUCAAGACUGAACUCUGCAACAAAUGGCAGGAGACCGGUGAAUGCCCUUACGGAGAACACUGCCAAUUUGCACAUGGGAUUGAGGAGCUCCGCCCGGUGAUUCGACACCCACGCUACAAGACAGAGGUCUGCAGGAUGGUCCUUGCUGGUGUUGCCUGCCCAUAUGGUCACCGAUGUCACUUCCGCCACGCCCUCACUGAGAAUGAGAAGUUCAUGGGUCCAAAUAAGCCCAGGGCAAUGAAGCUGGACAGGUAAAAUAUCAGGUUUCAUAAAUAUGAUGGCGACGGAAGAGUAAUAAGAUCACAACUGAGGUUUGAGUAAACAGGAGAGCCAAGUGUUUAUAUUACAUAUGCCUCCAAUGGGAACGGUAUAUAACACCAAUUAUAUGGUAAGUAUAAAACAAGGACAUGCAUAACAUAACAAUAAUUAGUGUCAUCUAUGCUCUGCGGUGAAAGUGAUCAGGAAAGUGUGCAAGGCUUCGUAGCCCGGAUGGUGGAGAAAAAUGAUGAGGUGUAUUGAGAGAUUUGAGCUCUUGUUUCAUUUUGUAUCUGUUGUUUUGGGGUUCCAUUAAAUAUGACUUUUGAAGCAUCAUUCAUAUAUACAUACAUUAGGAAUUUGGUGAUGUCAAACCGAGCAAC